AUGUGCCUAUGGGAUCAGGAUUAAUUUAUUAUUUUCUAGAAGAAAAAGUAGAAAUAUUGUAUCAAUGACGCUUGCUUUUCAUAUAGAAUAAUGAAUAACAAAACGCUAUUUGAAGAUAUUAAACAUCUUAUUAUAUCUACUUUUUAAACUUGCUCAUAUUUGUUCUAAUAAUUUGUUUUUCUAUUAUAUAAAUUGAUUGGUUUUAAGUUAAUGAGUAGGUAAAACUAAAAACUUUACUUAUCGUUUUACAAAAACACUUCUACGUAAUUAGGUAGUAGUCCCUGCUCCCUGCGUAGUAAAGAGCAGGACUUCUCUAAGGUAGCAAAAUAAUUUGGUUAUUAAUUUUGAUCUGGUAUGAAAGGGAAUUAAGUAAAUAAAAUUUAACACUUUUUUAAAUAAAAUAAAUAGUCAGAAUUCUAUUAAGAUUUAGCACUACGAUAAGACCCUAGGAUCUUGAAGUCUGUUGGGGAAACACAGUAAAGUUCUUUUCCUAACCCAUAAAGACAUAGAUACCCUAGGGAUAACAGCAUUAAUCCUACAUAGUUUUUAUAUAAUAGGGACAGUUGACCUCGAUGUUGGAUUGAAUUGGAUUAAUAGAUUUAAUAGGAUUGUUCAUCCUUAGCUAAUUCAAGUGAUCUGAGUUCAGAACGUUGUGAAACAGUUCAGUUUCAAUAGGCUUUGACGAUGUUCUUUUUUUUAGUACGAAAGGAACUAGAGAAGUUUU
rnacentral:rRNA from 1 species